CCUACGGGUGGCAGCAGUGGGGAAUAUUGGACAAUGGGGGGAACCCUGAUCCAGCCAUGCCGCGUGUGUGAAGAAGGCCCUCGGGUUGUAAAGCACUUUCAGUGAGGAAGAACGCCUGGUGGUUAAUACCCAUCAGGAAAGACAUCACUCACAGAAGAAGCACCGGCUAACUCCGUGCCAGCAGCCGCGGUAAUACGGAGGGUGGCGAGCGUUAAUCGGAAUUACUGGGCGUAAAGCGCGCGUAGGUGGCUUGAUAAGCCGGUUGUGAAAGCCCCGGGCUCAACCUGGGAACGGCAUCCGGAAUGGCAAACCAGGGGUGAAGGGGAGGAAGGAAGAAUCCCGGGUGAGCGGUGAAAAUCGGAGAGGUCGGGAAGAAAACCAGGGGCGAAGGCCGCCCUCCUGACCGGCCAUGACACCUGGGUUGGGAAGGCUUGGGAGGCAACCAGAUUAGAUACCCUGGUAGUC
rnacentral:rRNA from 1 species